AUUAAAAAAUUAGUGUCUGCUUGCAGAACUUGCAUACAGGUGCUGCACGGCUGUCGUCAGCUCGUGUCGUGAGAUGUUGGGUUAAGUCCCGCAACGAGCGCAACCCUCGUCCUUAGUUGCUAACAGUUCGGCUGAGAACUCUAAGGAGACUGCCUACGCAAGUAGGAGGAAGGUGAGGAUGACGUCAAGUCAUCAUGGCCCUUACGUCCAGGGCUACACACGUGCUACAAUGGGGUAUACAAAGAGCAGCAAUACGGUGACGUGGAGCAAAUCUCAAAAAUGCCUCCCAGUUCGGAUUGUAGUCUGCAACUCGACUACAUGAAGUUGGAAUCGCUAGUAAUCGUAGAUCAGCUAUGCUACGGUGAAUACGA
rnacentral:rRNA from 1 species